rnacentral:rRNA from 1 species
AUGGAAGAGCAGGCACCUCCUGCUCCAACAUCUCGAAUUUCAGUCAGAAAAGCAGUAGAAGUAAUCCAGACAUUUGACGAUUACAAAAGGUGGCUCAUCACUGAAAUUGGGUUUGGUGGAAUGUUAAAGCUACCCAUGUUGCAGAAGCUUAAUCUUAAGUUCAGCGCAUGGACUAUGAGCAAGGUCUGUGUUGAGCGUCGAGCAAUUGUUCUAUCAGAAACAAAAGUACUCAAGUUUUUUGCGGAGGACAUCCACAAGGUGUUCGGCAUACCAUGUGGCCACUGGAAUGUUAAAGGCCGCGAUGGGUUCAUCAAGCCAGAGGCUGUGACCUUCAUAAAGAGGACGCGAGGGAUGGACUGGACAGGUGUGCAUAGUCUACGCGCGGCUGAGGAAUUCCUUAUGCGCGACAUUUCUGAGGCGUCCAGCAAGAUAGAGAAGGAUUGCUUCCAAAUUGCAUUUGUCAUUUUUGUUAUGGGACACGUUCUGGCACCUAGGACAAAACACGAUUAUGGCACCAUAGACUAUUGGGGUGCACUUGCAAACACGGAGAAUAUCACGCAAUAUAAUUGGUGUGAGUUUGUACUGGAGUUUUUGCUCGAGGCAGUCCGGCGGCUUAAGAAUGAUAUGAUGGCCAACAACCAUAGUACAAACCUGGUUGGUUGCCACUUGUUUCUCUAG